GAUGAACGCUGGCGGCGCGCCUAACACAUGCAAGUCGAACGGCACCCACCUCCGGGUGGAAGCGAGUGGCGAACGGCUGAGUAACACGUGGAGAACCUGCCCCCUCCCCCGGGAUAGCCGCCCGAAAGGACGGGUAAUACCGGAUAAGCCCACGGCCCGGCAUCGGGUUGAGGGAAAAGGAUUUAUUCGCUUCAGGAUGGACUCGCGUCCAAUUAGCUAGUUGGUGAGGUAACGGCCCACCAAGGCGACGAUCGGUAGCCGGACUGAGAGGUUGAACGGCCACAUUGGGACUGAGACACGGCCCAG
rnacentral:rRNA from 1 species